UGGACGCGGGAUCCGGCUGAAGAUUCGGGUCACCCAAUAUUAAGAAACGGAUCCCUUAUAUUUUUUGAACGCUUUCUUCCUUCCUUGACACAGUUCCAUCUUCUUUUCCAAAACCCUAGAGAGCCCUUCGUCUCCAUUUCCAUUCUCCAACUCCAUUCGGGUUCAAAGCAUUUCCAUUCUCCACUUCCUGGUGGAUGAUUGGGGGUUUACAUUCUACAUAGACAUUUUUUCCUCCUCAAUACUCAAAUGUUAGUACCUUUCUUCUUCAUCGGCAGCACACACAGAUACAUAGAAGGAAGAUUAGGUUCUGAAAAGAAACACUGAUUGCGUUUACUUUCUUGCUUCACCCUUAACUUGCAAAAAGAUAAUCCCUGGAACAACAAAGAAAGGAAAAAGCUGCAAAAAUGGCGAUGAAUUAUUUUGGUCACGUGCCAGAAAGCAAGCCAAUGAGAGAAAGAGUUGAUGAAGGCAUGUACAGACCUAGAGUUGAUGGCUGCGAUUAUUGGAAACGUCAAGAUAUCUGCAGCAGGACUGACAGGAAAGUGAUGUGUUUUGGUAUCACAUAUGGGUUUUGUUUGGUUCGGUUAUGGGUCGGUUUUGGCUCAAGUCGAACCAAAAUUGGUUUAUCGGUUUUAGUAAAGCGAUGUAUUUCGCUUUUCAGUUUUACGUAUGGGUCGUUUUCGAUUUUGCAACGGGUUUGAAAUGUUUAGCCUAAAAGAACUUUGACCCUAAAUGAUGAAAUUAGUCAAAACUAUUAGCCAAACCUUUUGAUAUCCAGUAGUAAAGUAAUAACUUUGUUCAUAAAACUUUUGGUCCAAAAUAAUGAAUUUGGACCACAAUAACAAACAUUUAAACAAGAAAGAUCGGUUCGGUUUAGUUUGUUUUGAUUUGAUUUUGGAAUGAGCUAUAACCGAACUGUCGAUUUUUAUGUUUGGAUUAGUUUUAAGUUUGUGAUACUUAAAGAUAGAUGCUGUUGUGGGUGGUUUUCUCACGUUUAUACUUUCCACAACAUGACCAAAAAUUUUCCUCUAAAGUUUAAAAACUAGAAAAACCACUCCCAAUUAAUUUAAAUUUGGAGUGGAUCUUUUCUUUCAAUUUUUUUACAUGUUAAUUAAUUGUAUUUAUCUGAUAAUUUGCAAGUGUUGAUAUUCAAAGUGUGAAAAUAAAUGUUUGGUUUAAAAGUCCAUACUUUCGAAAACUGCUGGACAUUUUAGUCGAUUAAAAAAUAUUGUUCACUUUUUACAUUUUACCAAAU